CAUCUGGUGAUUUCACAUGGACAGCAAAAGCAAAAUGGUUUUAAGAUGAAGGAGGGAAGAUUUAGGUUGGAUGUCAGGGGGAAGUUCUUUACUAUGGGAGUGGUGAGGUGCUGGAACAGCUGCCCAGACAGGCUGUGGAUGCCCCGUCCACCCCUGGAGGUGUUGAAGGGGCCCUGGGCAGCCUGGUGUGGUAUUAAGUGUGGAGGUUGGUGGCCCUGCCUGUGGCAGGGUGUUGGAGCUUCAUGAUCCUUGAGGUCCCUUCCAACCCAAGCUGCUCUAUGGUUCUUUAAAAUGUAGGGUGUAAGGAACAUAAUGUUCAAGGGUGGUUGUUGCUGGUAUGAGAAGGUGGAACUCUUGCUUUAAUACCUGUUAGUUGUGUUAGUGUUAUGGGAGGAGCACAAGUACAAACUGCAGGAUUAUUCUUUUUAAAG
rnacentral:lncRNA from 1 species